GUGGGAUGACGUCAAGUCAGCAUGGCCUUUAUAUCCUGGGCUACACACACGCUACAAUGGGAAGGGACAAUAGGUUGCGAAGCCGCGAGGCGGAGCCAAUCCAGCAAAACUUCCCUCAGUUCAGAUUGCAGGCUGCAACCCGCCUGCAUGAAGUUGGAGUUGCUAGUAAACGCAGGUCAGCCAUACUGCGUUGAAUACGUUCCCGGGGCCUU
rnacentral:rRNA from 1 species